GAAUGUGAGGGUGAUCUGGCUUUUAUAUCUGUGACCCCAUCGAUAACCGGGGUUGAUUUGGCUGAUCUGGCUGGCUAGGAGGGUGUCCCUUUCCUCUCUCCAUGUAUGCCCCUCCUGAAGCUAUAUGCUUGGUUGAAGGAUGGUCUUCCCCAAAUAGAGAUGGGCUGGUCGUUGGUAGUGUAAAGGAGUAUCUGUGCUCCCCUGCAAGAACCUCCAAACAAGCUUUCAAGGUUCAUUUGUAGGGUAGCCAAGCUUCCAAGACUCCAGACACAUCCAAAUGAGGUGCUGCAUGUGGCAGUCUGCUUUUCCUU
rnacentral:snRNA from 1 species